UCUGCCUCUGUUCUUAAAAUAUCUUGCAUAUUGUGUCCGAAUAAUCAAGGUUCUUAGAAAUCUGUGUGAAAAUGAGGCGAAGAGUCCGUAACAACAGAUGCUGUUAUCACGCUGACUUCAGCAACUUAAAAAAAAAAAAUCCAACUAGCCAUGUUUGGGAUGUGCCUGUCACAUGGUGGACUGUGUGGCCUACGCUCAGAAGCCACACGAACAAUAUUGCCGUUUUUCAGGAGAGCAGACUGGAGAUCCCUUGAGAGUGAUGCCUACAGCAACAUUUGGCUGAAGGGAACGCACAAGGACAGAGAGGAUCAGGUUUCUUUUUCAGGACUCAGGUAAGGGGCGGAGCAUUCACAAGAGGGGUGACAGCCAUAGCAGCGGGGUCUGGAUCAGCCACACCCCAGCCAGGUGAGACCUCAGGCUGCGGAUGGCACCUCCCCCCGCAGGGGCCGGCCGGCUCCCUCAGCGCGGGCACAGGGCUGCCAUUGUUCCCCUUCACACAGACCUUCAGCGGGGACUUCCCAUUCUGGGAGGCAGCCCUGGCGACCAGACCUGAGGUAUGUAGUUACUGGCCAGUUUCCUGAGCCGCAGAGGGCAAGACCAGUUUUAUGAAGUCACCACGGGCUAUUUUUAGACACCCAUACUCCCCGGGGAACCUGUAAUUUCCCAGCCUGGCCUGGGCCAUGGGGAUCUCCACGGAGGAGCCCAGGCCUUGAAGGCAGAGAAGAGUUCCCAGCAGCAGCUCGACACAUUCCUUUGCUAAGAUAGACCCGCGGUUCUCAGGCAGCGGUGAGCAUCAGAAUGACUACAGAGCCUUUUCCAGACCUCCCCCAGCUUCCUGCACCGGACUCAGAACCAGAGAAGGGGGAUGGUGCCUCAGGCAUGCACGUAUUUUGCAAACACUACCCCGAAGGAUGCCAGCUGCCAGUACAGCUGUAAUGUGCUUUGCAGAGACUGCCUCUACCCGCAACCCUGCACGGAGCUUUCCAACAGCAUUUGCUCACUUCGUGUCUCGGUCACAUUCUGGUAAUCCUAGCAAUAUUUUAAACUUUUUCAUUAUUAUAUUUUUAUUGUGAUGUUUGAUCAGUGAUUAAAACUCACUGAAAGCUCACAUGAU